CCCCUCUCAGGGUAGCACCUGGAGAGUUUCCAGGACUUUACCAGACUCAACUGUAGGAGGGAGAUUCAGCGGAGGCCUACCUAUUCCAUUCCUAGCUUGGCCAGUGGCUAGUGAGUGGAAGGUAAUCUGCUACAAGU